ensembl:rRNA 5S_rRNA 5S ribosomal RNA
GGCUACGGCCAUACCACCCUGAACGCGCCCGAUCUCGUCUGAUCUCGGAAGCUAAGCAGGGUCGGGCCUGGUUAGGCCUUGGAUGGGAGAGUCCCUGGGGCUGCAAGGAGAUCCAACCA